GACAAGGUGGUUCAGUGGUGAAAUUCUUGCCUGCAAUGUAGGAGACUCAGGUUCGAUUCCUGGUCAAGGCA
rnacentral:tRNA from 1 species